UUUUCGCCUGAAUGAAGGAUGGGUCGUGUGUAUCCUUCAAUAGGUAGCAUUUCCCAAGAUGCCUUGCGGGCCGGCCGGCAGAAAAACUUAAAAACAAUGGCGGACAGUGAAGCGGGAGCUGUCGGAGAGGAUUGCGCAUAUACAUGAACAAAAGAGAAAACCAGGGAAUUUAUUAAGCUUAGGACGGAGAUGGACCACAUGAUCACCGGAGCAAAGUAUUCGGCGGCUGUGGCAUGGAGACUAUUCUGGAGAAAAUGGGCAUCCAGGGGAAGGUGCCAGCGAUGAGCUUCUGGAGCUGAUCUGGGAGGACAUGAGGCUGCAGAGGGAGGCAGAGCAGCAGGAGCCCAGGAGAGAAGGAAGAACUUUGACAGCUUUUUACUUUGCUAGAAAAAAAUGGUUAAGGAAGAUUAAACAUGUACAUGUAAAAGAAAUAUCUAAAUAAAAUCAGUUCUGC